rnacentral:rRNA from 1 species
GAUGAACGCUAGCGGCAGGCCUAAUACAUGCAAGUCGAACGGGAUUGCGGUGUAGCUUGCUACACUGCAUGAGAGUGGCGCACGGGUGCGUAACGCGUGAGCAACCUACCCAUAUCAGGGGGAUAGCCCGGAGAAAUCCGGAUUAACACCGCAUGGGACAGUAUUACCGCAUGGUAUAGCUGUUAAAUAUUUAUAGGAUAUGGAUGGGAUCGCGUGACAUUAGCUAGUUGGUGGGGUAACGGCCCACCAAGGCGACGAUGUCUAGGGGCUCUGAGAGGAGAGUCCCCCACACUGGUACUGAGACACGGACCAGACUCCGACGGGAGGCAGCAGUAAGGAAUAUUGGUCAAUGGGCGGAAGCCUGAACCAGCCAUGCCGCGUGCAGGACGACUGCCCUAUGGGUUGUAAACUGCUUUUGUACGGGAAUAACCCUCUCUACGAGUAGAGAGCUGAACGUACCGUAAGAAUAAGGAUCGGCUAACUCCGUGCCAGCAGCCGCAGUAA